AAUCAACGCUGGCGGCGUGCCUCAGACAUGCAAGUCGAACGAUUAAGACUCUCUUCGGAGAGUGUAUAAAGUGGCGCACGGGUGAGUAACACGUAGGUAAUGUACCGAAGGGUGGGGAAUAACUUAGGGAAACUUAAGCUAAUACCGCAUAAUGCAGCGGCUCGACAUCGAGACAGUUGUUAAAGGAGCAAUCCGCCUUUUGAGCAGCCUGCGGCAGAUUAGCUAGUUGGUAAGGUAAUGGCUUACCAAGGCUACGAUCUGUAACCGACCUGAGAGGGUGGUCGGUCACACUGACACUGAAUAACGGGUCAGACUCCUACGGGAGGCAGCAGUCGGGAAUUUUGGGCAAUGGGCGAACGCCUGACCCAGCAACGCCGCGUGAAGGAUGAAGUAUUUCGGUAUGUAAACUUCGUAAGAAUAGGAAGAAUAAAUGACGGUACUAUUUGUAAGGUCCGGCUAACUACGUGCCAGCAG
rnacentral:rRNA from 1 species